rnacentral:misc_RNA from 1 species
UGCAGAUUUACUGAGCUUCCAAGGAUUACCGUCGAGCCUGAUGCUCGUGUGGAUAUGUUCAGUGGAGGUGGAUCUUAUGGAGGAUUUAGAGAUAAUCAAAUGAAUGGGUUAGAACGUUUUUCCAUCAAAAGAGGUCCAAGUUCCGGUCGUCCAGGAGGGUAUGAAAGUUCCCGUUUUGGGCGUUCUAUGGGUAGAAAUAGUGGACCCAACUCUGGCAGUUUUGGUUCAUUUGGUCGCAACUCAAACAAUGCUGGAAAUUUUGGUGGUCCUGGUUCUGGGCGUUCUGGUGGGUUUGGAGAUUUUGGUGGUUCAGAUCGAUACGGUGGUUUUGGGGAUUUUGGUUCAGGUCGUAGUUCAGGAUUUGGUGACAGAAAUUCUAGAAACUCUGGCUUAUUUGAUGACAAUAUGGAUGACAAUCAGGGAACUGGGAGAAGGCAUUUUUAAACUAAAAUGGGGACAGCAUAUCAGCAUCACGGGGAAACAAUUGCCUUGGAUUCAUGACGAAUUUUUUCCCUAGGCAAGGUGACAUAUAUCAGAUAUUUUGAGGUAGGGCCAUGAACAUGCG